GACGAACGCUGGCGGCGUGCUUAACACAUGCAAGUCGAACGGAAAGGCCCUGCUUGCGGGGUACUCGAGUGGCGAACGGGUGAGUAACACGUGGGUGAUCUGCCCUCCACUUCGGGAUAAGCCUGGGAAACUGGGUCUAAUACCGGAUAUAAGCGAUUUUUAUUGUUAUGGUUGGAAAGUUUUUUUGGUGUAGGGUGAGCUCGCGGCCUAUCAGCUUGUUGGUGGGGUUAUGGCCUACCAAGGCGGCGUCGGGUAGCCGGCCCGGGGGGGUGGACGGCCCACAUGGGGAUGGGAUUCGGCCCAGACCCCUACGGGGGGCAGCAGGGGGGAAUAAUGCCAAAAUGGCGCAAGCCUGGUGCAGCGAAGCCGCGGGGGGGAAUGAGGGCCUUGGGUUGGAAAACCCUUUCGCUAGGGACGAAGCUUUUUGUGGCGGUAACUAGAUAAGAAGCACCGGCUAACUACGUG
rnacentral:rRNA from 1 species